UUCCGUAGUGAGUCAGUAACUAACCAAAUAAGUAAUAGUAUUAGCCAAUGUUCUGACUGAUAUUUUUUUUUAUUACAUUAAGUUGUGGAACUUCACUUAUUAAUAUGAUGUUGCUUGAAAUAAAAAAAAAUGUAUAUCAAUAGGCAUAUUGUAAUCUUUCGAUUGAUGUUUUUCCAAAUUCCUACCCUCGACACCGUGUCGCCAUGGUCACUGUUUACUCAACGGGAGAUAACUCCAAAUGAUGUAGUAGAUUUCACAUAGCCAAAAUUCUCUUCAAGAUUGCGAAAAACACAAGCUUAGAAGAUGGAGGACACACAGAUAUAUACCAUGGAUACAACGACUUGAAUGUACGUAUCAAUUUACACAGAUUGCGAAAAACACAAGCUUAGAAGAUGGAGGACACAUAGAUAUAUACCAUGGAUACAACGACUUGAAUGUGCGAUGGGUAAUGGAGUCGGCGAAUGCCCGAAUAAAGAGGUGGAAGUACCUUGACAAAGUUCUCCCAACAAACCAAGUCCCUUACAUUGGAGACUACAUACGAAUUAUCUGCGCCAUCUCUAACAAAUUCUUACCUCCACUACACCAGCCCAUGACGACAAUGUUGCAGUGGCGGCUAAAAUGUUGCAUCUUAGUCGUCAGGUCAAUGGGCUAAAAGAGCGAGUGAAGACAGAGAGCUUGCACAGUAGGAAAUUCUCGAUGUGAAGAGAUGCUUCAACCAUCGAUGAUUUCCCGAAAAUGACCGAGGAACAGCUACGUGAGAUGACGUGUAGGUCCUACCAGCUUAAACUAA